rnacentral:rRNA from 1 species
GAUGAACGCUGGCGGCGUGCCUAAUACAUGCAAGUCGAGCGAACAGACGAGGAGCUUGCUCCUCUGACGUUAGCGACGGACGGGUGAGUAACACGUGGAUAACCUACCUAUAAGACUGGGAUAACUUCGGGAAACCGGAGCUAAUACCGGAUAAUAUAUUGAACCGCAUGGUUCAAUAGUGAAAGACGGUUUUGCUGUCACUUAUAGAGGGAUCCGCGCCGCAUUAGCUAGUUGGUAAGGUAACGGCUUACCAAGGCAACGAUGCGUAGCCGACCUGAGAGGGUGAUCGGCCACACUGGAACUGAGACACGGUCCAGACUCCUACGGGAGGCAGCAGUAGGGAAUCUUCCGCAAUGGGCGAAAGCUUGACGGAGCAACGCCGCGUGAGUGAUGAAGGUCUUCGGAUCGUAAAACUCUGUUAUUAGGGAAGAACAAAUGUGUAAGUAACUAUGCACGUCUUGACGGUACCUAAUCAGAAAGCCACGGCUAACUACGUG